ensembl:misc_RNA 7SK 7SK RNA
GGAUGUGAGGGCAAUCUGGCUGCGACAUCUGUCACCCCAUUGAUCGCCAGGGUUAAUUCGGCUGAGCUGGCUGGCUAGGUGGGUGUCCCCUUCCUCCCUCACCACUCCAUAUGCGUCCCUCCGGAAGCUGCACACUCAGUCAAAAAGGACGGCCUUCCCCGAAUAGAGACAGACCGGUCCUCGAGGGUAUACGAGUAGCUGUGCUCCCCUGCUAGAACCUCCAAACAAGCUCUCAAGAAGUGUGUAUUUUGGGAGUCCCGCGGUAGCGCAGCCGGUUAAGCGUAAAGCACAAGGACCAGCAUAAUGAUCCGGGU